rnacentral:rRNA from 1 species
GAUGAACGCUGGCGGCAUGCCUUACACAUGCAAGUCGAACGGUAUCGCGGGGCAACCUGGCGACGAGUGGCGAACGGGUGAGUAAUGCAUCGGAACGUGCCCAGUAGUGGGGGAUAGCCCGGCGAAAGCCGGAUUAAUACCGCAUACGACCUACGGGUGAAAGGGGGGGAUCGCAAGACCUCUCGCUAUUGGAGCGGCCGAUGUCAGAUUAGGUAGUUGGUGGGGUAAAGGCCUACCAAGCCGACGAUCUGUAGCUGGUCUGAGAGGACGACCAGCCACACUGGGACUGAGACACGGCCCAGACUCCUACGGGAGGCAGCAGUGGGGAAUUUUGGACAAUGGGCGCAAGCCUGAUCCAGCCAUGCCGCGUGCAGGAAGAAGGCCUUCGGGUUGUAAACCGCUUUUGUCAGGGAAGAAAUCUUCUGGGUUAAUACCUCGGGAGGAUGACGGUACCUGAAGAAUAAGCACCGGCUAACUACGUGCCAGCCGCCGCAGUAA